AAAUGAAUUGACGGGGGCCCGCACAAGCAGCGGAGCAUGUUGUUUAAUUCGAUGCAACGCGAAGAACCUUACCAGGUCUUGACAUUGAUGUAAACCGCCAGAGAUGGCGGGUGCCUUCGGGCGACAGAAAACAGGUGGUGCAUGGUUGUCGUCAGCUCGUGUCGUGAGAUGUUGGGUUAAGUCCCGCAACGAGCGCAACCCUUAUGAUCAGUUACUAACGGGCAAAGCCGAGGACUCUGAUGAGACUGCCGGGGACAACUCGGAGGAAGGUGGGGACGACGUCAAAUCAUCAUGCCCCUUAUGACCUGGGCUACAAACGUGCUACAAUGGCGGCUACAAAGAGGAGCGAGCUUGUAAAAGUAAGCGGAUCUCAAAAAAGUCGUCCCAGUUCGGAUUGUGGGCUGCAACCCGCCCACAUGAAGUUGGAGUUGCUAGUAAUCGCGGAUCAGCAUGCCGCGGUGAAUACGUUCCCGGGCCUUGUACACACCGCCCGU
rnacentral:rRNA from 1 species